CGCGUAUGCAACCUACCUUAAUCAGGGGAUAGCCCGAAGAAAUUCGGAUUAACACCGCAUAAAAUCACAGUAUAGCAUUAUACAAUGAUCAAAUAUUUAUAGGAUUAAGAUGGGCAUGCGUGACAUUAGUUAGUUGGAGAGGUAACGGCUCACCAAGGCUACGAUGUCUAGGGGUUCUGAGAGGAAGAUCCCCCACACUGGUACUGAGACACGGACCAG
rnacentral:rRNA from 1 species